GUGAGGGUGAAUGGAUGCAGCAUCUGUCUGUCAUCCCAUUGACUGUCAGAAUUAAUUUGGUUGAUCUAGCUGGCUAGACUGAGGACUCCUUCCUUCCUCACUGUUUCUGGGCAUCCUUUUUGACUAGGAUGUGCACUGGGGAAGAGAACUGCCUUCCCCAAUAGACGUGGGCCAUUCUUGGGUUGAGGGUAUAUGAGUAGUUAUGCUCCCCUAUUAGAAACCUGAAAUAAGUUCUCUAGAAAUCUUAUUUUUUCUGAAGAUGUGCCUUCAUGUUACCUAAUAGAUA
rnacentral:snRNA from 1 species